rnacentral:sRNA from 1 species
UGAAGUUUGGCCAAGCUCCUCUAGCAACC